GGAAUAUUGGACAAUGGGCGCAAGCCUGAUCCAGCCAUGCCGCGUGCAGGAUGACGGUCCUAUGGAUUGUAAACUGCUUUUAUACGAGAAGAAACACUCCGACGUGUCGGAGCUUGACGGUAUCGUAAGAAUAAGGAUCGGCUAACUCCGUGCCAGCAGCCGCGGUAAUACGGAGGAUCCAAGCGUUAUCCGGAAUCAUUGGGUUUAAAGGGUCCGUAGGCGGUUUAAUAAGUCAGUGGUGAAAGCCCAUCGCUCAACGGUGGAACGGCCAUUGAUACUGUUAGACUUGAAUUAUUAGGAAGUAACUAGAAUAUGUAGUGUAGCGGUGAAAUGCUUAGAGAUUACAUGGAAUACCAAUUGCGAAGGCAGGUUACUACUAAUUGAUUGACGCUGAUGGACGAAAGCGUGGGUAGCGAACAGGAUUAGAUACCCUGG
rnacentral:rRNA from 1 species